AACGAACGCUGGCGGCAGGCUUAACACAUGCAAGUCGAACGAGAUCUUCGGAUCUAGUGGCAGACGGGUGAGGAACACGUGGGAACAUCCCUUUCAGUUCGGAAUAACGUUGGGAAACUAACGCUAAUACCGGAUACGUCCUUCGGGAGAAAGAUUUAUCGCUGAAAGAUUGGCCCGCGUCUGAUUAGCUAGUUGGUAAGGUAACGGCUUACCAAGGCUACGAUCAGUAGCUGAUCUGAGAGGAUGAUCAGCCACAUUGGGACUGAGACACGGCCCAAACUCCUACGGGAGGCAGCAGUGGGGAAUAUUGGACAAUGGGCGCAAGCCUGAUCCAGCCAUGCCGCGUGAGUGAUGACGGCCUUCGGGUUGUAAAGCUCUUUUGUCCGGGAAGAUAAUGACUGUACCGGAAGAAUAAGCCCCGGCAAACUUCGUGCCAGCCGCCGCGGUAA
rnacentral:rRNA from 1 species